ensembl:lncRNA
UCUCAAAAGAUGUCAGGGAGAAUUCCAUCCUCCUCUGUUUUAUCUGAAAAACUUCAGGAUCGAAUGUUUGACAGAAUUCUUCGUAAAAACAUCUGAUCAUAAAGUUUUCUCUAUGAGAAUGUUUUUUGAUUAAUUCCUUUUCAUGAGAGAGUGAGAGAUGUGGAGAUCAAAGAUCUGCAGUCAGAGUAUCAGCUAGAGAAGAUCGAUUACUUGGCCACCAUUUGUUGGCAAAAAUGUAACUUCAUGCUCUUCCAGCAGCUCCUGGAGCAGGUGCAGCCACUGAUUCACCGGGACUGUUAAUUUCUGCAACCUGGAGAAGAUUAGGCGCAAAUCCUGCUGGGAUGAGGAUAAUGGCUUCUGGAAGAUUCUAGAGCCCAUCAUCUUAAAAACCAGUCUCCCAGUAGUUUCAACAGGGCCACAGAACAAACCAGGCUACAAAACCUCUGCAGGAGACAACGGCGAACCAUGCAUGCGGGAGCAAGACCCCUAGAAGCUGAUGCUCAGUUGGUCGGACUGUGAAAAUACUGCCAGUAGCUACUUCGGUUCAAGCUGGCCACCCAGACCCUCUGCACAGAGACCCCCGAGGAGCCUCAUGCAUCCAGAGUCGCUGCCAGGCCUGCACAGCUUCUCUGCCCUCCCGCCCCGCUGCAGCUCCGGCCUUUCCACCUCGAAUCCCCCCACAUCCCCUUCUUGGAGGUCACGCAGCAGGAAAAGCAGAAGCGCCUUUGGCGGUGGGCCCCGCAGCUGCCUGCCGCUGCCCUGCCUUUGAGCUUCCCAGACAGCCCGGCCAGGCCUCCCCGCACCCGUGACCAGAGGCUCAAGGAGGUCCAGGCCGGGGCCGCCCUCCAGGCCUCGGUAGUGUUGCCCCUGCUCGCUGCCGCUGCGCCCCGGCGGCGGCUUGUGCGCAGAAACCUCCGCGCUGCCUCGGGGCCUUUGCAGCAUCCGCACAGAGCCAAGCAGCUUCCACGUGGAUCGAACUCGAACUCGGCAUCUUGACUGAACAUUGUGUCCCCGGCAUCCCUGCGCGGGAAGUCUUGGGGCUGGGUCAUGUUUAUUCGUGGGACGCAUGCCACAGCAUGGCUUGAUAAAUGCUGUGUAGGUCUGUGGCUGGGAUCUGAACUGGCGAGGCCUGGGCCACUGAAGCGGAGUGCAUGAACUUAACUGCUACGCCGCCACCAGAUAAUUCUUAUGAGGAGAUAUUGUAUGUGAAGUGGUUAGAAGAAUGCCUGGCACAUAAUAUGCACAGAACAAAUGUUGGAUGUCAGCAUUUUGAAACUGAGGAUGAAGGAGUUGAAGUUUCCUUGGAUUAGGAUAAAACAGCCUGUGCCUACAAAGUGAACGUGGGAAACCAAACCUGCAGGAUGACCACUGAUAAGACAGUAGCUUCCUGACAGCCUCCCACCUCACUAAGCAUCAUGCAGGAGCAAUGAGAAGCUAAAAUGACCAAUUGACUUUGACUGGAUAUUUCUUUACACACUGAAAAUUCAUUCACCCUACUGCCACUUCUCAGGACCUGUGACGGGGAAUGAAAAUCCAAGCUGCCUUUGAGAUAUCACCCUGAAGCUUGGGCUCUAGACCUCCUGCAGCAUCGCCUCUGCUGUAUUCUAUUAGUCAGAGCAAUUUUCGGGGCCACUCCAAAUUUAAGAGGUCAGGAAAUAGACUCCAACUGUUGAUGAGAGGAACUAAAAAUGAUUUGUGGCCGUAUUUAAUCUACCACACUAUCCUAUUCCUGCUAUUAAAAUUCCUUUGGGAUGAUCUUUGAAAAUAAUUUUGUGAAUAAAACAGGGCAAAAUUUUCAAUGAAUUUGUCUAGAAUAAACCAUACAUUGUCAAGUCUGUAGCUCUUGCUGGUUGUAAGCUCUUUAUCCAUGACUCUCACCUUAUUCACAUUUCUAUCCCUUCUAUUUAGUGUAGUUCCUGAGAGAGAGUAUGCAGAAAAGUACUUGUUUUAUGAAUGAUUGAUUAAACCAUAACAUUCUUUCUACAAAAGUCAUAAAAUGUCUAAAACGUAAAUGUUGAAAUCUUAUCUCUACUUCUCGGGCCAAAGGGCCUCCAACAGGCUUACUGUUCUAAAUAAUCCCCAAACAUUAAUAAGUAAGAGCAACUAUAUUCAAAGAGUUUUAUACAUUCAAUUAAGUAUGUUUUAGAUGUUUAAUGUGAUACCACAAAUAAGACGCCCUCAAUUUAGUUGUCUUUCUCAAGGUGGACAAAAUGAUUGUGCACAUUGGGGCACACCACAGAAGAUACUUUUCAAAAGAAAAC